AAACUUCAUACAAACUCAAUGCUCUCUGGUGCUAUAACUCCUCGAUGUGAUAAGUUAUAACUUUAAUCAGUAAUUCUAGUGCUUAAGAUUGUGCUAAGCUGAAUGGUUUGAAAAAUAAAGUUUUUCACCUAUUUAUAGUGUUCAAAGGUCCAAAAUAUCAAGUGGGAGGUUUCUACAUUCGUGGGAGAGAAUAUAAGAGUGCAUGGGGUGAGUGGGAGACCAAGCAAGUCCACUUUCCAACCGCCUGGCUCUUACAAAGGAUGGCGAACACCAUACCAAGGUGGCAAACGCCACCUUCCCAAAGUGUGGAAGAAUUGGUCAAUUGGUCGUUGGUGAGUGAGACACGUCAUUCUUCUUAUGGCUUUCUCCAUGGCGAACGCCACACAUGUCGCUUUGUGUGUAAAUUCCCCAUUUUUCUCCGUUUUGCAUCUGAAUCGCUUCGUUUCUUCGCACAUGGCUCUUAUAUGAUCAAAUACCUGAAAUACAAAUAAAAUACCCACAUAACACUGGAAAUAGAGGUAAAACGAUAAUAAAACAUGUACAAAACGAGUCAAAAUAACAAUGUAAUUUGGUGUUAUAAAAAACAUCAACAAAAUAAUACGCUACAAUCAAUUGGAAAAC
rnacentral:lncRNA from 1 species